UCUCUCUCUCUCUCUCUCUCUCGGCUGAAGGUAGGGAAGAAGCCGGUUGGGGAUUUCGUCGCCGACGUCGCGCCGCGAACCGUUCGAGCGCACUUGCUGUCGGAGCUUUGCGAGGAGGCCGGGCGAGGGAGUGUCUUCACUGUUCUUGACGUCGCGCCGAGGUUCGACGCUGUCGAGCUCGUUCUCCGCGUAGGAGCGUCGGAUCGCGACGAAACUUGGUUCAUUGGAUUCUAGACUGCGAGAGGUUUCCACAGAGCCCUCACUUGCAAUUUUUGGUGAAGCUUGGAAUUAGCUCGAUUGCGAGAAUCGGACGUUUUCAGUCAACCCAGCAGGUGGUGU